AAAUUUUUUCUACGUGUAAUGUGCACUGAUACAAACUGUCAUGUAAAAAUUUGGAAAAUCUCAAGGGUCCUUUGACCUUUUGAAGACAUUUAAGUGAUUUCCUAGCCAUUUAAUGACCGUAAUUCAAAUUUGAACUAGAUGUACAUGCAACGGCUAACCAUAACGGUUUGAAAAAUCAUAUUUGUGUACUUGUGUGCGAGUUAGUUCCAUAUGUGGUAAAUUAGAAGGAAUUUCAAACAUAUUGGUCUCACGGCAUGGACACAUGCAUGGAGUGCCAUGGCAUUUUAGUUCCAAAAAAUUAAAAAAUGAUCAGAAAAACAUGAAACCUUGCUUGAUGUAAUGUCGUGCCACCAAGAUGAUGUGGUACAAAAAUUGGCAUGUUUGACGAAAGUUUGGAGACAUGUCCUUCACAAACCGGAGCAACUCACUAGAAGGCUCGUGGUUCCGAAAAGGGAACAAUGCAUAUUUGAUGACGAACGGCAGAUAGCUUCCUCUUACGGCCUUCAACUUUUUUUCUACGUGUAACAUGCACUAAAACAACUAUCAUGUGAAAAAUCGGAAAAUUUCAGGGGUCAUUUGACCUUUUGAAGACAUUUAAGUGACCUUUUGAUCAUAUUUGUGUACUUGUGUGCGAGUUAAAAAAUCAUCAUACGAUGUAAAUAUCUGGCAUUCAAAAAAGAAAAUGUAAAAUCUGGCAAGAUAACCGGCUACACACGAUGGGCACUCUAUUUUGCGCCUCGAGGUUUGGAAGGUGAGUGGUGGGCUUUAUUAAUCAGACACGGUUCUGUAUUGGGAACCGUCAGUUAUUAUGUUCACACACGGAUUUUGUUGCGGGAAUCGUGUGUAAUUCACACUACAGUACUCGUAAAUUCCAACGACCACCGUGUGUAUUGUUCCCGUUGAUCUAGAUUUCAGCCGUCAAUAAAUACUACCUUGCUCACGUCGUCCCGCCUGCAUUAUCAUCUAGAUCCUCCCCUUGCUCGCCCUCUCUCUCUCUCUCUCUCUCUCUCUCUCUCUCAAAUCUUUGUCAUGGCGCCGCCGGUCUGCCCACGCGUCGACGAGGAGUCGCCACCCCCCGAGAACACUCACUCGAAGGGCAGCGACGAGGACACCUACGCGCCGCCGGACGAGGUUGCGCCAAACCCCCCAACUUUGGAUUGGUUUUGAGGUCAGUACAAUCUUUGUCUUUGGAAGUCACUUUUGCCGCUGAGAAAGCCAGGCAAGUGGCUUUCAAGAAGGAGAUGGUGGAGGAGGAUGCCAGGUACCAGGUGGCCUGUGAAGCCCGUGAUGCCGCCUGGAAAAAGGAGGCGGCGAAGCUUUGGGGGCGAGCGCGUCGUCGUGCGGAGGAGGUGUACGAAGACGGGUACUUCGCGAGGUAGGCCAGAGGCGCUACUCGCGCCUCGUCGCUGCGUGGAGCUGGGCCGAUAAGCUCCAGCAUGCCACCGACAAGGAGCUCCGGUGGGUGCCCAACGAAAUGACAAGAUCAUUCGCGCGCGUCCGCCUACAAGAGGCAGAUCGGCACGUCAAGCCCUGCGAGGCGGAAGAGGUGAAGUACUGCCUCUGCUCUGGGAAGACGCCACGCACCAGGGAGCUGCUAGCGGGGGGCUGCCGGAAUAAUGGCCCUAGGAGGGAUUAUUAGUUUUAUUAUUGUUCUUUUUCAAUAUUAUGCAUUGUACCUAGUAGUUAAGUAUCAUCACGUAUAUGUGAUGAUAUUAUAUGUAUUCUGUGAUGAACUAAUGACAAGUUAAUAAUAUAUAUAUUAUGAAUUCCAUUUUCUAUCUGUUUUUGUAUACUAAUUCGAAUCUAUCUUUUAUCAUCCACAUAUACAGAAUGGAAAGCGUAUAAACACACAUUGAAACAGAACAUAUAAAACGGAAAACAGAGUACACACAUUGAAACAGAUCAAUAGUAUGAUUGCUGUAAAUACAUAGCUAUCCACGUCGAAAUGACUCAACAAAAUAAAACGCGUCCAUGAGACCAUGACUAGCAGCCCUUGCCUACGGUAGCUCUUGGCUCUGGCUGGACUCGUGCAGGCGUUCGUCCAAGCGGUCGACACGCUCACGGUACAUCUAGAGCGCGAUCUCGAGCUCUAAGUUGGCUAUUUCAUCAGAGCUCACCACCUCGAGGAUGCGAUGGCCAUGUUCCUCUUCUGCGCCCAGGUGGACACCUGGGCCAAGGAGGCGGUCGAGCCUACCGACCAGCGUGUUGGCAUCGUGCGGGCCGCGGACAAGGCGAACGGCGCGACCCAUGCGAACGGCAUGGCGGGCGUCCGGUGCAAGUACGGCGCGACCGCCCUCUGGUGCAAGUACGGCACAUAGGGCCUGUGCCCACUCCUGGCAAGGAAUGGGGGUACUCACGGGACGUGUACCCAGCUGCGAUGCCCUGUCGACAGCAGGCAAGCGCCGAUGGAUCCGCUCUUGCUGUGCGGCGCGCCGGGCCUCUCACUCUGCGGAGCUCCAAUAGUCUCGCCGUGCGGCGAGCCACAGCCUAUCGACGCGGGCGCGCCUACCUUGCUCUGCGGUGCACCAUCGAUCAUGUUGUGCGGCAAGCUGCAACCUGUCGACGCUGACAUGCCUAUCUUGAUCCGCGGCGCUGAAGCGCCAUGCGCCAACGGUCUACUCAACCCUGGCGAUGACGCACAUCACAACGUCGUCCAUCGCGUUGCCGGGGAGCACCGCGGCCUUGACAGGCCGUAGCGCCUUCUGGUUUUCCUCAUCGACGAGGUUGAUGACAGAGGCGACACUUUGGUGCAUUCGCAUGCUUGGAAAAGGUGGAUGUGCUGCACGUUGCGCUUGUUGCCUUCGUGCGUCGCGCCAUGCCUAGGUAUAUGUGCGAUAUUGCUGGGUGGCGGGAAACGGGUGGCGAAAUGGCGGGAAAUGGUGGCAUGUUCAUAGAAUGCCAUAAAUUAAUGGAAACUUAGCAUAUAUAAGGAACAUCGAGCUAGCACAAAAAGUAGAUGAUGAUGAAUGAACACGGACCACACUAGAGAACCCGUCGGUGAUCAAUUCAUCAAUCGCAAACGGUUGUACACUAGCAAGCGCUUGCCCACAACACACACGACUUAUUCCAUCACAAACAGGUCGGAUGGAUCAACUGUAUGCCACAUAUACACAUUGUUAAAAAGUAAUAUGGUAAACCUUCUUUAACAUAUGCUAAAAAAUAAAAUAAAAAUAAAAAACAAGGACCUCGAGGUUAAAUUAGCUGAGGGAAUGAGUCAUUUCGGUCAUUUGACCGAAAUGACCCAACCUAUCUAUUAAUUUAACAUCAACACACCUUCCCAUCGAGUCACCCAUCUGCUGGCUGCUCCAGCCUGAGCACACUUAACUUGAGAGUUCUCUUAGAUGAGCUACUAGUGGAACAACUAGUCCUUGCUGAUAUAGGAUGCCUCUUUGCAUUGUUAUGGCGUAUCCGGAUGACCGCCCGUCCCCCAAUGGCCAAUAUAUGUUGUGUAGACAGAGCAUAUCACAUACGUCUUAUUAGAAGCAAUCAUCUGUGUUAUUAUCGGUCUUCGCACACAUUUCUGAUUAUAGACAUGUUUGCCACGUAUCACACACAUCUUGUUAUAUUGAACCGUUUAUGUUCUCUUGUCUCAACGCAAACAGUUCAUCCGAGUGAACCACAUGACGUAUAUCGCACACACCUUGAUCUGCCUCACCGUUUCUUUUGUGUUGCCUAAUCACAAACAGUUCAUCUGAGUGAACCGUAUGAUGUAUAUCGCACACACCUUCAUCUGGCUGCCCAUUUCUUUUGUUCCUCCUUGUCGCAAGUAGUUCAUUGAACUGAACCGUAUGUCCUGCAUCACACACCCAACUAAAAUCUGAAGCGUGUUUGAUGCAUCCGUCAUCUCAAACGUUUUGCACAUUUUUGAUAGUUUUCUUACACCACCGUUUGCGAUUAUUGCAUCGCAUACAGUUUCUCGAAGUGUCUCUGAUCAUAGUGUCGCAUUAGCAGCAUCCUGCAGUAGUGACACCCCCAGUCAUAUUGUCGUAGUUCUUAGGCGAAGCCCUGCGCGGAUCACUUCACCAUCACCAUCACCACGCUGUCAUGCUGACGAAACUCAUCUAAUUUCUCAACACCUUGCUGGAUCAAGAGGGCGAGGAACGUCAUUGAGCUGAACAUGUGUAGAACUCGGAGGUGUCGUACUUUUGGUACUUGAUCGGUCGGAGCUAGAAGAAGUUCGACUACAUCAACCGCGUUGUCAAACGCUUCUGCUUUUGGUCUAGGAGGGUACAUAGACACACUCUCCCCCUCUCGUUGAUAUGCAUCUCCUAGAUAGAUCUUGUGUGAGCGUAGGAAUUUUUUGAAAUUGCAUGCUACGUUCCCCAACAUGUUCAUCUUGGGUGGGAAACAAACAGAAAAGCAAUCAUAAUCUAUCUUUUUAUUAAAGUAAAACUAUCAUCAGUCUGCUAUCAUUAUUUUUGGAUCUAUCCACUGGUUGUUACCAUCACUCUAGAUUUUUGUGCUCUCCUGACAAAAUCUCACUAUAUUUUUUGUAUGCAUGUUAGAUAUUGUAAACAGUCAUCCUGAACAUGUAGAGAAAAAGAGUUUUCCGCGGCAAUACAAUGUCAUGCAGACAUUGCUCAAUGGUGGGUGCUCUAGAUUGUAAUCCAGAGGAAGAUAUCUAUUUUGAGGCGGAUUCAGACGGAGCUGACCACUCCUAUUUAUCCCCCGAGGUGUUUGCUCUAACUUUGCAUGAUGAUGUUGGUCAUAUCAUGCAUAUGUUGCCUUGCAGUGCCUACUUUCGACAUCAUAUAUGUAAUCUGCUUAGUUUAGACAUGUCUUGUAAUGCCACCUGUUAAGUUUCUAUAUCGUAUAUGUGAAUUAUGCAAUCUCAUAUAUUUUAGCCAGCCAUAAUAUAUGUGAAAUAUGCAAUGCCAUCCUGUUUAACCAAGCAUCAUAUAUUUGGAUUGUAUCUUGCCAAUCCUUUUCCUCAUUAAAGUUCCCUUUGUCGACAAUGUUUGUAAAUUCAACUACUCUUCCUGUGAAUCAGUAAUUUGAGUGGGUAAGGGGAAAAUCUAGAGUGAAACCAAGGUCUUCAGAGCGGACAGUGCUACCUGUCAAACACUACACCACAACACUACUUCCCCAAUAGACAAGUCGGUAGGGAAAACAACGUCCACCGACAGACAAUCGGUCGGGAAAGACUAUUGCCGACCGACCCUGUCUGUUGGGGAAAGACGGGAAAACCUUUUCCCGACCGACAUAUCUUUCCCGACCCACUGUUUGACAGCCAUCCAAAGCAUUGCUGACCGACUUUCUGUUGGCCCUGCUAUGAACUUUUCCCGACCGACUGUCCGAUGAUCCCGACCGACUGUUCGAUGGUACUUUCUUUGUCGACCGACUUUCUGUUGGCCCUACCAUGAACUUUUCCCGACAGACAGUCCGACGGUACUACAUUUGCCAACCGACUUUCUCUCGGCCCUGCCAUAAACAUUUCCCAACCAACAAUAGGACGUUGUUAUCUUUUGCCGACCAACAGUUUGAUAGCAUUUUGUUUAGCCAAGCAAGAUAUAUUAAUACCAAACCGUUAUUUGGCUUGUGCCUUUCCAAACAAUAUCAAUCAAGUUGCAUAUCUCAUUGCAACACAGGAUAUUCUUAUAGGUAAAAGUAACUAACUAAAAGGAGGAAGCAUUUAUGUUUCAAUCACCAAGACACCUGAUUGGUUUACAAAAUGAUAGAUGCAUGUCCAAUGAUUCAUUGGUUGAUCCAUUACACAAAAUACCCAAUUGACAAGACACCAUAUAGGUUUACAAAAUGAUAAAAUACACAAUGUUUUUGCUUCAUUACACAAAAUGCCUAGCUGACGCAAACUGCCAUCUUCAUGCAUGCUUACUUCCUGGUCCUCUUGUAUGUCAUUCCUACAAAGGAUAAAAGGGUGACCGGUGAAUUCAUGGAUUCAUAGAGAUAAUGGAAAAAUAAUAAUUGUAUAAAGCGCCAAUGGGAAAAACAAACUGGGAUUUUAGUAUUAUAAAAACAGGGCAUGUUCUAAUUAGAAUCUGUGAUGGGUUAGACAUAAUAAAGCAUCAAUGCCACACCGACCCACCAUAUAGCCUGUAUGAAUCUCCUCAAGCCGCAGACCAGGAAGUAUAUUAAAUGGAAAAGGAGCAUAUGCAUCAUCUGGCCACAAGGCAACAAUUUAGCAUGUCCAGACACCCAAUUAUUGGGAGCAACACAUCCACCAACGGACACAUGAAAGUCAUUUUU
rnacentral:lncRNA from 1 species